CAUGUAUUACCUUCAUCCUUAAAAGCAUGUCUUAAAUUAUUCUAGAUAUGAAUGUAUGUAGACACGUUUUAGUGUUAGAUACAUACGUAGUUAGACAAAUCUAAGACAACCUUUUUGGUAUGGAGGGGUAGUAUUUU
rfam:Hordeum vulgare subsp. vulgare, WGS project CAJW01000000 data, contig: morex_contig_45751